GAGUUUGAUCGUGGCUCAGAUUGAACGCUGGCGGCAUGCCUUACACAUGCAAGUCGAACGGCAGCAUGAUCUAGCUUGCUAGAUUGAUGGCGAGUGGCGAACGGGUGAGUAAUACAUCGGAACGUGCCCUGUAGUGGGGGAUAACUAGUCGAAAGAUUAGCUAAUACCGCAUACGACCUGAGGGUGAAAGUGGGGGGACCGCAAGGCCUCAUGCUAUAGGAGCGGCCGAUGUCUGAUUAGCUAGUUGGUGGGGUAAAGGCCCACCAAGGCGACGAUCAGUAGCUGGUCUGAGAGGACGAUCAGCCACACUGGGACUGAGACACGGCCCAGACUCCUACGGGAGGCAGCAGUGGGGAAUUUUGGACAAUGGGCGAAAGCCUGAUCCAGCAAUGCCGCGUGUGUGAAGAAGGCCUCGG
rnacentral:rRNA from 1 species